CAGCCGCCGCGGGAAUACGUAGGGUGCAAGCGUUAAUCGGAAUUACUGGGCGUAAAGCGUGCGCAGGCGGUUAUAUAAGUCAGAUGUGAAAUCCCCGGGCUCAACCUGGGAACUGCAUUUGAGACUGUAUGGCUAGAGUGUGUCAGAGGGGGGUAGAAUUCCACGUGUAGUAGUGAAAUGCGUAGAUAUGUGGAGGAAUACCGAUGGCGAAGGCAGCCCCCUGGGAUAACACUGACGCUCAUGCACGAAAGCGUGGGGAGCAAACAGGAUUAGAUACCCCAGUAGUCCCUGUCUCUUAUAA
rnacentral:rRNA from 1 species